rnacentral:rRNA from 1 species
UCGAUGAUACGCGAGGAACCUUACUGGCUUAAAUGUAGAGUGCAUUUUUUAGAGAUAGAAAUUCCCUUCGGGGCUUUCUGCAAGGUGCUGCAUGGUUGUCGUCAGCUCGUGCCGUGAGGUGUCGGGUUAAGUCCCAUAACGAGCGCAACCCUUAUCGUUAGUUGCCAUCUGGUAAUGCAGGGGACUCUAGCGAAACUGCCACCGUAAGGUGAGAGGAAGGUGGGAUGACGUCAAAUCAGCACGGCCCUUAUGUCCAGGGCUACACACGUGUUACAAUGGUCGGUACAGAGGGCAGCUACCUGGUGACAGGAUGCUAAUCUCGAAAACCGGUCUCAGUUCGGAUCGAAGUCUGCAACUCGACUUCGUGAAGCUGGAUUCGCUAGUAAUCGCGCAUCAGCUAUGGCGCGGUGAAUACGUUCCCGGGUCUU